GGGGUCAAGGUGUUAUGGCUGCAUUUUCGCCUCUUAAGCGAUUAGGUUUCGGUUCAAAUCCGAAUGACCCCACCA
rnacentral:tRNA from 1 species